rnacentral:rRNA from 1 species
UACGGAGGGUGCGAGCGUUGUCCGGAAUCACUGGGCGUAAAGGGCGCGUAGGUGGCUCGUGAAGCGUGCGGUGAAAGUCCGAGGCUCAACCUCGGAUCGGCCGUGCGGACUCGCGGGCUCGAGCGUUGUAGAGGCGGGUGGAAUUCCGGGUGUAGCGGUGGAAUGCGUAGAGAUCCGGAAGAACACCGACGGCGUAGGCAGCGCCCUAGACGAGACCUGACGCUCAGGCACGAAAGCGCGGGGAGCGAACAGG